rnacentral:rRNA from 1 species
CACGUAGGGCGCGAGCGUUGUCCGGAAUUAUUGGGCGUAAAGAGCUCGUAGGCGGCCUGUUGCGUCCGCUGUGAAAGCCCGGGGCUUAACCCCGGGUCGGCAGUGGAUACGGGCAGACUAGAGGUAGGUAGGGGAGAAUGGAAUUCCCGGUGUAGCGGUGAAAUGCGCAGAUAUCAGGAGGAACACCAAUGGCGAAGGCAGCUCGCUGGGACGAUACUGACGCUGAGACGCGAAAGCGUGGGGAGCAAACAGG